GAAAAAUAGUUGUACGAUAUGAUGGCGCU
rnacentral:piRNA from 1 species